ACAGCGGCAAGUUCGAGGGAGAUAUCAUACUGGAUGACUGGCAGGUGGAGGCGCUAGUGCAGCGGUACUCUGGGGCGAGGAAUGCUUUCAUAUGGAUCGACGCCAAUUGGCCCGAUAACACAGUUGUCUAUGAUUUCGCAGACAGCGAAUUUAAUGAGGAACAGAGAGAAGCCAUUUUCGUUGCGAUUAAAGACAUCGAAGAAAAUACUUGCAUUAAAUUCCGUGAGAGACGUCCCGAUGACAUCAACUUUGUAAAACUGACGAGUUUCGAUGAUGGUUGCUACGCCAGCGUCGGCUUCUGGGAGGCUCGCGGUGAUCAUAUCCUGAACCUGGCCCUGGACCCGCCCGGCGAAGGCUGCUUCAGACACACCACUAUUGUCCACGAGUGCACUGCACAUCAUCGGCUUCUUC